GAUGAACGCUGGCGGCGUGCCUAAUACAUGCAAGUCGAGCGAACAGACGAGGAGCUUGCUCCUCUGACGUUAGCGGCGGACGGGUGAGUAACACGUGGAUAACCUACCUAUAAGACUGGGAUAACUUCGGGAAACCGGAGCUAAUACCGGAUAAUAUAUUGAACCGCAUGGUUCAAUAGUGAAAGACGGUUUUGCUGUCACUUAUAGGUGGAUCCGCGCCGCAUUAGCUAGUUGGUAAGGUAACGGCUUACCAAGGCAACGAUGCGUAGCCGACCUGAGAGGGUGAUCGGCGACACUGGAGCUGAGACACGGUCCAGACUCCUACGGGAGGCAGCAGUAGGGAAUCUGCCGCAAUGGGCGAAAGCCUGACGGAGCAACGCCGCGUGAGUGAUGAAGGUCUUCGGAUCGUAAAACUCUGUUAUUAGGGAAGAACAAAUGUGUAAGUAACUGUGCACGUCUUGACGGUACCGAAUCAGAAAGCCACGGCUAACUACGUG
rnacentral:rRNA from 1 species